UACGAAGGGUGCUAGCGUUGUUCGGAAUUACUGGGCGUAAAGCGCGCGUAGGCGGCUUCGCAAGUCAGAGGUGAAAUCCCUGGGCUCAACCCAGGAAUUGCCUUUGAAACUGCAAAGCUAGAGUGUCGGAGGGGAUAGCGGAAUUGCUAAUGUAGAGGUGAAAUUCGUAGAUAUUAGCAGGAACACCGGUGGCGAAGGCGGCUAUCUGGACGACAACUGACGCUGAGGCGCGAAAGCACGGGGAUCAAACAGG
rnacentral:rRNA from 1 species